rnacentral:rRNA from 1 species
CCUACGGGAGGCAGCAGUCGAGAAUCAUUCACAAUGGGGGAAACCCUGAUGGUGCGACGCCGCGUGGGGGAAUGAAGGUCUUCGGAUUGUAAACCCCUGUCAUGUGGGAGCAAAUUAAAAAGAUAGUACCACAAGAGGAAGAGACGGCUAACUCUGUGCCAGCAGCCGCGGUAAUACAGAGGUCUCAAGCGUUGUUCGGAAUCACUGGGCGUAAAGCGUGCGUAGGCUGUUUCGUAAGUCGUGUGUGAAAGGCGCGGGCUCACCCCGCGGACGGCCCAUGAUACUGCGAGACGAGAGGAAUGGAGGGGGAACCGGAAUUCUCGGUGUAGCAGUGAAAUGCGUAGAUAUCGAGAGGAACACUCGUGGCGAAGGCGGGUUCCUGGACAUUAACUGACGCUGAGGCACGAAGGCCAGGGGAGCGAAAGGGAUUAGAUACCCUGGUAGUC